rnacentral:tRNA from 1 species
GGAGGGUUGGUAGAGUGGUCGAUUACGGCAGUCUUGAAAACUGCUGGGUGUCAAAGCCCCGUGGGUUCGAAUCCCACACCCUCCGC